rnacentral:rRNA from 1 species
GAUGAACGCUGGCGGCGUGCCUAAUACAUGCAAGUCGAGCGAACGGACGCGAAGCUUGCUUCUCUGAUGUUAGCGGCGGACGGGUGAGUAACACGUGGAUAACCUACCUAUCAUUCUGGGAUAACUUCGGGAAACCGGAGCUUAUACCGGAUAAUAUUUUGAACCGCAUGGUUCAAAAGUGAAAGACGGUCUUGCUGUCACUUCUAGAUGGAUCCCCGCUGCAUUAGCUAGUUGGUAAGGUAACGGCUUACCAAGGCGACGAUGCAUAGCCGACCUGAGAGGGUGAUCGGCCACACGGGAACUGAGACACGGUCCAGACUCCUACGGGAGGCAGCAGUAGGGAAUCUUCCGCAAUGGGCGAAAGCCUGGCGGAGCAACGCCGCGUGAGUGAUGAAGGUCUUCGGAUCGUAAAACUCUGUUAUUAGGGAAGAACAUAUGUGUAAGUAACUGUGCACAUCUUGACGGUACCGAAUCAGAAAGCCACGGCUAACUACGUG